rnacentral:rRNA from 1 species
UUAAGCGACUAAGCGUACACGGUGGAUGCCCUGGCAGUCAGAGGCGAUGAAGGACGUGCUAAUCUGCGAUAAGCGUCGGUAAGGUGAUAUGAACCGUUAUAACCGGCGAUUUCCGAAUGGGGAAACCCAGUGUGAUUCGUCACACUAUCAUUAACUGAAUCCAUAGGUUAAUGAGGCGAACCGGGGGAACUGAAACAUCUAAGUACCCCGAGGAAAAGAAAUCAACCGAGAUUCCCCCAGUAGCGGCGAGCGAACGGGGAGCAGCCCAGAGCCUGAAUCAGUGUGUGUGUUAGUGGAAGCGUCUGGAAAGGCGCGCGAUACAGGGUGACAGCCCCGUACACAAAAAUACACAUGCUGUGAGCUCGAUGAGUAGGGCGGGACACGUGGUAUCCUGUCUGAAUAUGGGGGGACCAUCCUCCAAGGCUAAAUACUCCUGACUGACCGAUAGUGAACCAGUACCGUGAGGGAAAGGCGAAAAGAACCCCGGCGAGGGGAGUGAAAAAGAACCUGAAACCGUGUACGUACAAGCAGUGGGAGCACGCUUAGGCGUGUGACUGCGUACCUUUUGUAUAAUGGGUCAGCGACUUAUAUUCUGUAGCAAGGUUAACCGAAUAGGGGAGCCGAAGGGAAACCGAGUCUUAACUGGGCGUUAAGUUGCAGGGUAUAGACCCGAAACCCGGUGAUCUAGCCAUGGGCAGGUUGAAGGUUGGGUAACACUAACUGGAGGACCGAACCGACUAAUGUUGAAAAAUUAGCGGAUGACUUGUGGCUGGGGGUGAAAGGCCAAUCAAACCGGGAGAUAGCUGGUUCUCCCCGAAAGCUAUUUAGGUAGCGCCUCGUGAAUUCAUCUCCGGGGGUAGAGCACUGUUUCGGCAAGGGGGUCAUCCCGACUUACCAACCCGAUGCAAACUGCGAAUACCGGAGAAUGUUAUCACGGGAGACACACGGCGGGUGCUAACGUCCGUCGUGAAGAGGGAAACAACCCAGACCGCCAGCUAAGGUCCCAAAGUCAUGGUUAAGUGGGAAACGAUGUGGGAAGGCCCAGACAGCCAGGAUGUUGGCUUAGAAGCAGCCAUCAUUUAAAGAAAGCGUAAUAGCUCACUGGUCGAGUCGGCCUGCGCGGAAGAUGUAACGGGGCUAAACCAUGCACCGAAGCUGCGGCAGCGACGCUUAUGCGUUGUUGGGUAGGGGAGCGUUCUGUAAGCCUGUGAAGGUGUGCUGUGAGGCAUGCUGGAGGUAUCAGAAGUGCGAAUGCUGACAUAAGUAACGAUAAAGCGGGUGAAAAGCCCGCUCGCCGGAAGACCAAGGGUUCCUGUCCAACGUUAAUCGGGGCAGGGUGAGUCGACCCCUAAGGCGAGGCCGAAAGGCGUAGUCGAUGGGAAACAGGUUAAUAUUCCUGUACUUGGUGUUACUGCGAAGGGGGGACGGAGAAGGCUAUGUUGGCCGGGCGACGGUUGUCCCGGUUUAAGCGUGUAGGCUGGUUUUCCAGGCAAAUCCGGAAAAUCAAGGCUGAGGCGUGAUGACGAGGCACUACGGUGCUGAAGCAACAAAUGCCCUGCUUCCAGGAAAAGCCUCUAAGCAUCAGGUAACAUCAAAUCGUACCCCAAACCGACACAGGUGGUCAGGUAGAGAAUACCAAGGCGCUUGAGAGAACUCGGGUGAAGGAACUAGGCAAAAUGGUGCCGUAACUUCGGGAGAAGGCACGCUGAUAUGUAGGUGAAGCGACUUGCUCGUGGAGCUGAAAUCAGUCGAAGAUACCAGCUGGCUGCAACUGUUUAUUAAAAACACAGCACUGUGCAAACACGAAAGUGGACGUAUACGGUGUGACGCCUGCCCGGUGCCGGAAGGUUAAUUGAUGGGGUCAGCGCAAGCGAAGCUCUUGAUCGAAGCCCCGGUAAACGGCGGCCGUAACUAUAACGGUCCUAAGGUAGCGAAAUUCCUUGUCGGGUAAGUUCCGACCUGCACGAAUGGCGUAAUGAUGGCCAGGCUGUCUCCACCCGAGACUCAGUGAAAUUGAACUCGCUGUGAAGAUGCAGUGUACCCGCGGCAAGACGGAAAGACCCCGUGAACCUUUACUAUAGCUUGACACUGAACAUUGAGCCUUGAUGUGUAGGAUAGGUGGGAGGCUUGGAAGUGUGGACGCCAGUCUGCAUGGAGCCGACCUUGAAAUACCACCCUUUAAUGUUUGAUGUUCUAACGUUGACCCGUAAUCCGGGUUGCGGACAGUGUCUGGUGGGUAGUUUGACUGGGGCGGUCUCCUCCUAAAGAGUAACGGAGGAGCACGAAGGUUGGCUAAUCCUGGUCGGACAUCAGGAGGUUAGUGCAAUGGCAUAAGCCAGCUUGACUGCGAGCGUGACGGCGCGAGCAGGUGCGAAAGCAGGUCAUAGUGAUCCGGUGGUUCUGAAUGGAAGGGCCAUCGCUCAACGGAUAAAAGGUACUCCGGGGAUAACAGGCUGAUACCGCCCAAGAGUUCAUAUCGACGGCGGUGUUUGGCACCUCGAUGUCGGCUCAUCACAUCCUGGGGCUGAAGUAGGUCCCAAGGGUAUGGCUGUUCGCCAUUUAAAGUGGUACGCGAGCUGGGUUUAGAACGUCGUGAGACAGUUCGGUCCCUAUCUGCCGUGGGCGCUGGAGAACUGAGGGGGGCUGCUCCUAGUACGAGAGGACCGGAGUGGACGCAUCACUGGUGUUCGGGUUGUCAUGCCAAUGGCACUGCCCGGUAGCUAAAUGCGGAAGAGAUAAGUGCUGAAAGCAUCUAAGCACGAAACUUGCCCCGAGAUGAGUUCUCCCUGACUCCUUGAGGGUCCUGAAGGAACGUUGAAGACGACGACGUUGAUAGGCCGGGUGUGUAAGCGCAGCGAUGCGUUGAGCUAACCGGUACUAAUGAACCGUGAGGCUUAACCUU